rnacentral:misc_RNA from 1 species
GAAAUGCGAUAAGUAGUGUGAAUUGCAGAAUUCAGUGAAUCAUCGAAUCUUUGAACGCACAUUGCGCCCCUUGGUAUUCCAUGGGGCAUGCCUGUUCGAGCGUCAUUUGUACCCUCAAGCUCUGCUUGGUGUUGGGUGUUUGUCCCGUCUCCGCGCGUGGACUCGCUCCAAAGUGAUUGGCAGCCGGCGUACUGGUCCCGGAGCGCAGCACAUGUCGCGCAAACGAGUGCCUUGGUACGGCGGCGUCCAUAAGCCCCUCUCUCACGCUCUUGACCUCGGAUCAGGUAGGGAUACCCGCUGAACUUAAGC